UACGGGGGGGAGCAAGCGUUGUUCGGAUUUACUGGGCGUAAAGGGCGCGUAGGCGGCGUGUUAAGUCACUUGUGAAAUCUCUAAGCUUAACUUAGAACGGUCAAGUGAUACUGACGUGCUAGAGUGCAGAAGGGGCAACCGGAAUUCUUGGUGUAGCGGUGGAAUGCGCAGAUAUCAGGAGGAACACCGAUGGCGAAGGCAGGUCUCUGGGCCACUACUGACGCUGAGAAGCGAAAGCAUGGGGAGCGAACAGGG
rnacentral:rRNA from 1 species